UACGUAGGGUGCGAGCGUUAAUCGGAAUUACUGGGCGUAAAGCGUGCGCAGGCGGUGCACCAAGCUCGAUGUGAAAGCCCGGGGCUCAACUCCGGAAUUGCCUUUAAGACUGCAUCGCUUGAAUCAUGGAGAGGUGAGUGGAAUUCCGAGUGUAGAGGUGAAAUUCGUAGAUAUUCGGAAGAACACCAGUGGCGAAGGCGACUCACUGGACAUGUAUUGACGCUGAGGUACGAAAGCGUGGGGAGCAAACAGG
rnacentral:rRNA from 1 species